UGUGCGCAUGCGCAUCAUAUGACCUCGUGUUCAGACAGCUUUGAUUUUGUAGUCAGAGAAAAGUAAAGUGUAUGGCGUCACCCUAUAGUGUCUUCAAUGAAAGAAGUAAAGUAAUAAACCUGAAUGUUUCUGGAUCUGGACUGAUUCUAAUUGGAUAACAGAAAGGAGUUCCGAAGAAUCCCAACAAAGAGAUCUCCAAACCCUAUUAAAGUUUCACCUAAAAGAAAAGGCCUGUGGUUGUAUGCCCUCCACCUGUUCCUGAUGACGGAAAAAAGGAAACCUCGUUCAAUAGGCAUGUUAGGCUCUACAGACUGAGUACAAUAAGCCCAAAUCUCGACAAAACCAGCAAGUGGUGGAUGCAUUGAUGAAGAAAUGAGAAGACUGGAAAUACUAAGAAUACGUUGGACCUAAACAGCUUGUUUUUCGACCAUCUGGUGGAUUAAUUUGAGUGGGUUGUGGGAAAAAUGGACGAAGACAAUCCUUUACUGCAGAGAGAUAGCGCCGAAAAUUUUAUGACAAUCCAGCAAAGUAGUUCAAGUGCCCUCGAGUCCAGUUCCAAGGCAAUAUUGAACUCGCUGUGCUGUUGUAUUGCCUGCCAUCCUUACUGCCUGAUUCUCGAUACAAGAUGGAUAUCGAUACAGUGGCUCAGGAUUACGACAGUAUACUCGAUGUCAUCGAAGAGAAACAAAAUGCUGUGAUGAUGCCAUCGGACAAAAGCAACGUUGGUUGGCUUGAUUGAAAUUAUGGACAUUCCAUUGCCCUUUUGUCAGCAUAUUUUGUUUUCGAUAUAAUUAUGUUACCCGAAAGGGUGCAACAACUUUUAUUCGCAUCAGUGAAACAUAUUCUAUAGCUGCUUUAUACAAUUACUUUGUGAUGAUUGUUGUAUUCAAUAUUAUUAUUAAUCGUCUGAAAAUAA